GGUUUUCUCAAAUAAUGAUGAAGCCCUUAUUAACAAAAAACUACCCAAAGAACUUCUGUUAAGCCUCUAAAAUCUUCACCUGUAUUUGUAGUAUUUUCUUUCUUGGACAUAGUUACUUUGUGUCGAUGUGCACAAGUUUCCAAGGUAUG